GAUGAACGCUAGCGACAGGCUUAACACAUGCAAGUCGAGGGGCAGCGAGGGCGUAGCAAUACGCCUGUCGGCGACCGGCGCACUGGUGAGUAACACGUAUGCGACCUGCCCCCUACAGGGGUAUAACCCGUAGAAAUGCGGACUAAUCCCCCAUAGUCCUGAGUGCUGCAUGGCAUUCAGGGGAAAGGCCAGCCGGUAGGGGAUGGGCAUGCGGCGCAUUAGCUAGUUGGUGAGGUAACGGCCCACCAAGGCGACGAUUGGUAGCCGGACUGAGAGGUUGAACGGCCACAUUGGGACUGAGACACGGCCCAGACUCCUACGGGAGGCAGCAGUGGGGGAUAUUGCACAAUGGGGGAAACCCUGACCCAGCAACGCCGCGUGAAGGAAGAAGGCCUUCGGGUUGUAACUUCUUUAGUCAGGACGAAGGACGUGACGGUACC
rnacentral:rRNA from 1 species